UACGUAGGGUGCGAGCGUUAAUCGGAAUUACUGGGCGUAAAGCGUGCGCAGGCGGUUCGUUGUGUCGGCGGUGAAAGCCCCGGGCUUAACCUGGGAAUGGCCGUUGAAACUGGCGAACUGGAGUGUGGCAGAGGGGGGUGGAAUUCCGCGUGUAGCAGUGAAAUGCGUAGAGAUGUGGAGGAACACCGAUGGCGAAGGCAGCCCCCUGGGCUAACACUGACGCCUCAUGCACGAAGCGUGGGGAGCAAACAGG
rnacentral:rRNA from 1 species